CUUGCAUUCUUGUGGGAGAGACAAAUGAAUAAUUAAUGCCAAGGAGUGGGAAAUAUGAGUAAGAAAAAAAAAAAAGAGGGGUUGGAGAAGGGAAGGCCUCCUGAGGUGACAUUUCAGCCAAGACCUGAAUGAUGGAGCAAGCCACACGGGCCUGAGGGCAGCAGCAGGAUGGACAGGACCAAAGGUCCGUGCAAAGGCCCUGAGGCUGAGUGGUGUUUGAGGAAUGUUGAGAGGCCAGUGAGGAGGGGAAGCGUAAGAGGAAUUAAGAUCCAGCAGCUCCUGGGAGAUCAGACCAUGUGGGCCCCUCACAGGUAAGGCUUCAGCUUACACACCUAGGUAGGUGGGACACUCUGCACAGUUUGGAUCAGCAAUCCAACACGAUCUGCUCAGCUCUGAAAAAUCUCUGGCUAUUGAGUGGAGAACAGGCUACAGGGAGAAGAGGGUGGGAGCAGGGAUAAUUAGGAGCCUAUUGCAAUAUCCAGACAAGAGAUAAUCGCAGUAGAGGAAGGGGCAAGGCACUGUCAGGAUAAGCCUGGAGGAUUUGCUCAUGGAUUAGAUGGUGGGUACAAGAGAAACAGGAAUCGAGGAGGAUUCCCCAGUUUUCGGCCUCGGAACUGAAGAACCGAGUUUGCAUUUACUAGGAGGGAAGUCUCCCCAGGGGAGCACAUUUCACACCAUGGGGCCGAGUGAGCUCCCUUUAGGGCUGAGUGUGGGGAGAGAGGAGGCUAUAUUAGAGGCUGGAGCCCCGAGUCCUCCAGGGUUUUGAGGCUGGGAAGCUGAGGACACCAUAGCAAGGGAGGCCAAAAAGGAGAGGCCAGGGAGGUGAGAGGAGAGCACAGAGCUGUCCACAGGCCAGGUGGAAAGACUCAAGCGGGUGAUUAUUUGCAUCCAAUGCUACUGAUAGGACUGGGCAACCCAGGUCACUGGCAACUGUGGAAAGGAAACUUUUGGUGGGAUUGUGAGGAAAAAACUGGAAGGGAGUGGGCAGAAGUGGAGACGGGGAACACACACAGCUCUUUGGAAGAGUUUUGCUCUAAGGGGAGCAGAGACAAGGCAUGGCAGCUGAAGAGAAUCUGGAAGUCUCUGGUCUUUGAUAUUGAGCUAUACCCACUUGGGAUGCAUGUAAGUGGGUGGAAAGUCCUGGCAGAGGGGAGAACCCGCAGUGCAGGAGAGAGGGCGACUGUAGGAGAAAAGCCCUCAAGGAGUGAAGAGGGAUGGGCCCCGAGGAUGGGAGCAGGGUGGGGCAUUUAUUGCCACAGAAGGGGAGGCUGAGGAUAUGGUGUCAGAUGCAGACGGGCUGAGAGUUCACCCUUCACCCUCUCUCCUAGCUCUAAGCCAGAACCUAAGGGGGCCAGAAGCUGGGAUCCAAGUCUACUUGUCCCACCCCCUCCACUGGAACUCCCUGGCCCCCAGCUCUGCACAGCUCCUGCCCUGCAGCCCUCGCCUGGCUGUGCUCCGGGAAGUCCUCGUGGGCACUUCACCCUGCUCUGCAGCCACACUCACACCCUAGAUCCAGGUCACACUAGAGGCAAAGACCCCACUGGCUCGGACUUCACCAACCUGGAGCAGGGGAGAGAAGCUAAGUUCUGACCUUUGAUCAGAAGAUGGGGAAGCCACACUCAACACGUCACUGCCUUGGGAGGUGGAUUUGGGGAUGGUGGGUCCUGGGGAAAAACGGGCUUUUGGUGUGGAAAUGACAUCUUUCCUGUUUCCGACCUCUGCCUGCCUCAUGCCAGGUGAGACACCUUCAUGCCUGUUUCCAUGAUUGAGAACAUGGGAGUACGCUUCUUUCCACCUACGUUCCUGGUGGAUUUUCACUGGAGUUGGGCUGCACUGUGGAAAA
rnacentral:lncRNA from 1 species